rnacentral:misc_RNA from 1 species
AUCGUAGGUGGUGGAGAGCACAGGUAAAAUUUAAAUUGAUCUAGCGAGGAGAGAUCUGAUGUGUGGUUCUCAUUCUCCAAUCAGCUGUUGCUUUUCUGUUCCAAGAAAUGUUGGCAGAUACUUUUAUUUUUAAUUAGACUUCUACAAUCACAUACUGAUUCCUAAUUUGAUUAUGAUUUUAUUCAGGCAAUACGCUACUUAAUGAGA